AUAAACAGUAAUGGCGGAGGCUGCAACUCCCGGAACAACAGCCACAACAUCAGGAGCAGGAGCGGCAGCGGCGACGGCGGCAGCAGCCUCCCCCACCCCGAUCCCCACAGUCACCGCCCCGUCCCUGGGGGCGGGCGGAGGGGGCGGCGGCAGCGACGGCAGCGGCGGCGGCUGGACUAAACAGGUCACCUGCAGAUGGAGUCUGUGUCGCCCAAGCUGGAGUGCAGUGGCACGAUCUCGGCUCACUACAACCUCUGCCUCCUGGGUUCAAGGAAUUCUGGUGCCUCAGCCUUCCGAGAAGCUGGGAUUACAGGUAUUUUAUGCAUGGGGUUUGUAAGGAAGGAGACAACUGUCGCUACUCGCAUGACCUCUCUGACAGUCCGUAUAGUGUAGUGUGCAAGUAUUUUCAGCGAGGGUACUGUAUUUAUGGAGACCGCUGCAGAUAUGAACAUAGCAAACCAUUGAAACAGGAAGAAGCAACUGCUACAGAGCUAACUACAAAGUCAUCCCUUGCUGCUUCCUCAAGUCUCUCAUCGAUAGUUGGACCACUUGUUGAAAUGAAUACAGGCGAAGCUGAGUCAAGAAAUUCAAACUUUGCAACUGUAGG
rnacentral:lncRNA from 1 species